rnacentral:rRNA from 1 species
UGUUGACCUCGGAUCAGGUAGGAAUACCCGCUGAACUUAAGCAUAUCAAUAAGUCGGAG